rnacentral:tRNA from 1 species
GGUUCUAUGGUGUAAUGGUUAGCACUCUGGACUCUGAAUCCAGCGAUCCGAGUUCGAGUCUCGGUAGAGCCU